GAUAAACGCUGGCGGCGUGCCUAAUACAUGCAAGUCGAGCGAACAGACGAGGAGCUUGCUCCUCUGAUGUUAGCGGCGGACGGGUGAGUAACACGUGGAUAACCUACCUAUAGGACUGGGAUAACUUCGGGAAACCGGAGCUAAUACCGGAUAACAUGUUGAACCGCAUGGUUCAACAGUGAAAGACGGUCUUGCUGUCACUUAUAGAUGGAUCCGCGCCGCAUUAGCUAGUUGGUAAGGUAACGGCUUACCAAGGCAACGAUGCGUAGCCGACCUGAGAGGGUGAUCGGCCACACUGGAACUGAGACACGGUCCAGACUCCUACGGGAGGCAGCAGUAGGGAAUCUUCCGCAAUGGGCGAAAGCCUGACGGAGCAACGCCGCGUGAGUGAAGAAGGUCUUCGGAUCGUAAAACUCUGUUAUUAGGGAAGAACAAAUGUGUAAGUAACUAUGCACGUCUUGACGGUACCUAAUCAGAAAGCCACGGCUAACUACGUG
rnacentral:rRNA from 1 species